rnacentral:rRNA from 1 species
GUGCAGCAGUCGAGAAUUUUUCUCAAUGGGGGCAACCCUGAAGGAGCGACGCCGCGUGGAGGAUGAAGGCUUUCGGGUUGUAAACUCCUGUCAUUUGAGAACAAGUGGCCGAACCUAACUACUUCGGCCUUGAUAGUAUCAGAAGAGGAAGGGACGGCUAACUCUGUGCCAGCAGCCGCGGUAAUACAGAGGUCCCAAGCGUUGUUCGGAUUCAUUGGGCGUAAAGGGUGCGUAGGUGGCGCCGUCAGUGGGGUGUGAAAUUUCGGAGCUUAACUCCGAAACUGCAUUCCAUACUGCGGUGCUUGAGGACUGGAGAGGAGACUGGAAUUUACGGUGUAGCAGUGAAAUGCGUAGAGAUCGUAAGGAAGACCAGUGGCGAAGGCGGGUCUCUGGACAGUUCCUGACACUGAGGCACGAAGGCCAGGGGAGCAAACGGGAUUAGAUACCCCGGUAGU